GCGUGCUUAACACAUGCAAGUCAAGGGGGCCCAGCAAUGGGCAACCGGCGAACGGGUGCGUAACACGUGAGCAACCUACCGAACUGUGGGGGAUAGCCGGCCUAACGGCCGAGUAAUACCGCAUACGCUCUCAGUGAGGCAUUUCAUUGAGAGGAAACCUACGGGACAGAUCGAGGGGCUCGCGGCCUAUCAGCUAGUUGGCGAGGUAACGGCUCACCAAGGCAACGACGGGUAGCUGGUCUGAGAGGAUGGCCAGCCACAUUGGGACUGAGAUACGGCCCAGACUCCUACGGGAGGCAGCAGUGGGGAAUCUUGCGCAAUGGCCUAACGGCUGACGCAGCGACGCCGCGUGUGGGAUGAAGCUCUUCGGAGUGUAAACCACUGUUGCCCGGGACGAACAGCUCGAUUAGUCGAGCCUGACGGUACCGGGUGAGGAAGCACCGGCUAACUCCGUGCCAGCAGCCGCGGUAAUACGGGGGGUGCGAGCGUUGUCCGGAAUCACUGGGCGUAAAGGGCGCGUAGGUGGUUUGAUAAGGGUGUGGUGAAAGUCCGGGGCUCAACCCCGGAUCUGCCGUGCCGACUGUCAAACUCGAGGGCUGUAGAGGCAGACGGAAUUCCGGGUGUAGCGGUGGAAUGCGUAGAGAUCCGGAGGAAGACCGGUGGCGAAGGCGGUCUGCUGGGCAGUUUCUGACACUGAGGCGCGACAGCGUG
rnacentral:rRNA from 1 species